UGCAUCGGCCGGGAAUCAAACCCGGCCCGCCCGCGUGGCAGGCGAGCAUUCUACCACUGAACCACCGAUGG